GACCUCGUCGCCCGGCUGGACGGGCACCGGCGUGCAGCCGGACGGCAGCGGGUUCGAGCCCCGCCGAGGUCA
rnacentral:tRNA from 1 species